CACACUCCCCAUUGUCAUAUAGAUGAAUUUGGCUGCUUACAACAUAUUCUUCGAUCGAGUGGAGAGCAGCUGUGGUACUGAUGUUCACUACAAGUAUCUAUCGUCAAACCUGUGCUUCCUGUCAACAGGAUUUUUCGUGGCUUGAUUCAAGCUUGAAACAUUCAAUUCAGUUAUGAGAAAUGAAUUGAACGUCUAAAUUUUGUGAUGAUGAAACUGAUGAUGUUUUGUAAAAAUUGAAUGUAACUUACCCAACUUCUUGAUUAUUUCAGCGGUGGAUUGCAUCUUUUGUAGCAACAGUAACUUCAGCAAAUAUAGUAUCAAAUACAGCCUGGUGUGGGUAAUAAUCGUUAGAAAACAUUUAUCUUUCAAAAGUUGGUGGGCACAGCAUUAGCAAUUAAAGAAACUCGUGACAUGUAAUAAACUUUGAGGAUUGUUUGAGGGCUUUUUUCGAAAACUCAGCUUUGUAAACAAAACUUUCAACUGCCAAACAGAAUCAGGUUCACCAUAUAUGAAAUAGCAUAUACACUAAAAUCAAUUAAGUACUCUGCUGAAAUUAUAUCUAAUUCAGUCCAAAUGUAUUGUUUACUUCAAAUUUUGAAUUUUUUGGGGUUCUUUGGAAUUUAAUUUGUAAUAUUUUCGUAGGAAUUUCUUUGUUACUUAUUCGUUGAACAUUGUGUCUAGUGAUAACUCGUGCUUAUAAAAGAGCAUCAUUGACUUGGAAGUUUUUUGUUGAUUCGAGGUUAGAAUCUUGUGUAAGGACUGUAAGGCAUGGGAAUCGUAAAAAGAAGCAGGAGCAAGCAAAAGUUAAAAGAAUUGAUCAUUUUGUUUCCUGGAUUUUUAGCUAUGAUAUGUGAAAAGAGAAGUUCAAGUGCAUAAGACAAGUCUAAACUUUUCGAUUGAGUUCACCAUCGUCAAAUAUCAAGAAUCCAAAUGGCUCCUCAAAAGCAAUCCAACCCAAAAACAGACCCUGGCACUAUUGCAGAGAAAAAGACGUUUAACAAAAAAGAGUGGCGGCAGAAACAGUACAGUACUAAAUGGAAAGUUCAAAAAUUCGAAGAGGAGAAGAGGAAAGCUGCUAUCCAGAAGUAUCAUAAGGAACUGAAGAAAGAAAAAAUUCAAUUACCUCAAUCCAAACCUAACACGAGCAGAAACGAGAAAGAAGAAAGACUCACCGCAUAUCAGUUGGCACAAAGGAGUAUGAAAAGGUCAAAGAAGAACAAAAAAAGCAGAGGGAAGCAGCCAUUAGAAAGAAACAAGAAAUGAAAGAAGCCUUAACAAAUAUAAACAGAAAAAGAUUGAAAAAUACAAGAAACUAAGUAAGAAAACUAAAAAAGGACAACCAGUUAUGAAGUACCGAUUAGAAAUGUUAUUAGAAAAAAUCGAAAAGAAUUACAAAAGCUAACAAAAGUGAAUGUUCUCACAAUUUUUUAAUGUUAUCAUAACCUCCAAUGAAGUUUGCAGAAUUCAUUUCUCUUACUUAUAAUAUCCAAAAAUGAUUAUUUUUUAUGACUCGCUUCUAUCUCACUUCUGGCAGGGGGCUUCAGAGUGUCGUCAACUCCAGGAAAGAGAAUGUCCGGCAAAAUGUAGAGACCCAAGUAGCAAAAUAUAAUUUUUUCUAGAAGAAAAAUUUUAGGAAAACUUCUAGAAAAUACCAAGAAAAUGAGAGUUAUCUAAAAAAGAGAAAGAAAAAACAUUGCGAGUCAAAAGUCUGACGAAAGAAAAUAGAUCUAUUUCAUAGGUCUACUUUCUGUCAACUUUCCAUUUGGAAAAAAGAUAGAAAAUUUAUUGAAAGUAGAAUUAUUUUCUAGCCAAUUUCUUAAUGUUUUCUCUUAAGAAAAUGCAAGGAAAAAAUUUAUUUUCUUUCUAUUUUCUUGUGUCUAUUUUCUAGAUCUACUUUAUACUUACUUUCUUUCAAGAAAAUUGUUCCAUCUAGAAAGUAGACAUUUUCUUGAUGAGCGCCACCUAGAAACUAGAUGACAACUACUUGGGGAGAAAGAAAUAGUCUCUUGUGCUUGAAAGCCAUGUGAAAAUUCAGUAAGUAGGUGUAAGCAGACAUUUUGAGUAUUUUGAACUGAACGUUCUUAAAAUCAAGCGCAUUAUGUAUAUUGCAUACAUUUCCAGUAGCUUGAACUGAAUUUUCUACGGAACAAAAAAAUAUCAAAGGUAGCACUCCGUAAAUUGUUCUAUCUUGCAAAAAAUUCCGUCUUGUUGAUUUAAUUAUGAAUAUCCAGGCCUUAUUUAGCAGAUUAUCUAUUCACUUAAAAAGGACAAAGCACCACAUUCUAGCCAACCCUGUUGAAAUGAAACUUCUUUUGAUCAGUUAGAGUUACGCAUGUUUAUUAACAUGUUUUCUUUCUAUUUUCACUGCCAAAAAUUCAUGUUACUUUACAAGCCAAUAUUUCAUAUAACUGUCUAAAGAGAGCAUUUGUUUUUAUAAGUAGUAUCAUUACUAGGUGCCCACCUCUUUCCAAUUUUCAAGGAGACAACAUGGAAAUGAUAUUUUUCAGUACCUAUUGAGAUCUAAGUGCACUGUUUUCCUUUCCAUGUAUAAUGUUCUUUGUUAUGAUUUGAGCAUCGCAAUAAAAUAUUUCAGUGAACAACUCAUUGCUUGUUUUAAUGUGUCUCAUUACAUCUUUGACCAUUCACUCAAAACGUAUCUUUGCAAAAUAUCCCCGCCAAAAAUAGAUGAUAAAGCAGCUCAAUAACUUGUAUAAAUGUUGCGCUCAAGGAGCAGUCGGUACGUAAUAUUUUGACUUUUUUCCGGCAGUUUUCCAUUUUUGUUCCAAAUGUAUAUACCUAUCUUAAUUGCACCAUCAGGCCCGUACCCAUGGGUUCAUCACACAUGCACAGCCUUAUUAUCCUGGAAUAAAAUAUUUUUUAAUCACUGGAUAGUGUAACUUUGUCUAAAAUUAUCAGAGACUCUUUUUCUUUUCGUCCAUCCAUCAAUCAGUAAAAUCAGUGAAAAAAAUGUGAGAAGGAACAACUGAACAUGCGCAUAGUUGUAUCUUGAAUCUCACUCUCUCGGUUUUAUUUGCUCCACUACGGAAUCUCUAAAGAAUUCCUGUUUUUUAUUGUGUUGAAAAAA
rnacentral:lncRNA from 1 species